GCACUGCUGAGGAGUCUCAUUCUAGGACGAAACGGCCGUCCGGUGC
rfam:Schistosoma margrebowiei strain Zambia genome assembly, scaffold: SMRZ_contig0007036